ACACGUACUAUUUCCAUAGGAACGGGAGAGUGAAUGUUUCUUCACCAAUGUAAGCGGAAGAUGUGAGAGCCUAAUUUGCGGCGCUGGCGCUGCUGUCGGUAAGAGAUGCGAUGUUGAGCGCCAUUUCACUCAAGUUCAUGGUAACUUUACACCGGACUUUCCUGUGGGUAGCGGGCUACGAACUGAAAAAGUGAAGCAGCUGAAAGCAACAUUACAAAAACAACAAUCUUUAUUCACCAAACUGAUAAAGAGAGGAAAUUCUGUAACUGAGGCAUCACUUAAAGUGACAAAACACAAGAAGCCGUUCACCGAUGGCGCCGCGGUGAAGGAAGAGAUGACUGCGAUGGCUGAAACUUUGUUCAGGGACCACAAAAGCAAGACAGAAAUGAAGUCCGCUAUCGCUGAUGUCCAGCUCAGUGCCAACACAGUGGCAAGGAGCGUUUCCUUGCUUUCUUCAGAUGGAUGGGGCAGUUAGAACAGGACCUGCACAGGUGUCAAUGGUUUUCAUUUCAAUGUGAUGAAUCGGUGCACUUGAGUGAUUCAGCCCAGUUGGCUGUUUUUGUUCAGAUGGUUUUUCAUGAUUUUUCCACCAAAGAGGAGUUUUUUUUUUUUUUUUUUUUUUUUAUUUCAUUAUUUAUUUAUUUAUUUAUUUAUUUAUUUAUACAUUACUUCCUCUGAAAACCACAACCAGAGGAGUCGACAUCUACAACGUUUUGAAGAACUACUUCAUGGAAAAAAGCGUGUCCCUUGAAAAGCUGGUUUCUAUGACAACAGACGCAGCUCCAGCCGUGAUAGGGCGCCACUCUGUGGAGUUAUUGCACAUUGCAAGGCCGGACCCAGACUUUCCUAAAUUUCUGAACUAUCACUGCAUCAUUCAUCAGCAGGCGAUCUGCACUAAGGUUAUGGGUUUUGAUCAUGUCAUGAAACCGGUUAUUCAGAUUAUCAACUCGAUUCGAGCAAAGUCCAAACAACACAGAUGUUUCAAACUGUUUCUUGAUGAAAUUUCUGCAGAGUAUGGCGAUCUCCUCCAUCACACAGAAGUCAGAUGGUUGAGUAGGAGUAAGGUACUUCACCGCUUUAUUUCCUUGCUGAGGGAAAUUAAGGCUUUUAUGGAAGCAAGGGGGAGGAUACUGACCUGUUGUCUGAUGCCGGAUGGCUGCUUGAACUUGCAUUAUUGGCUGAUGUGACAGAGAAACUGAAUCAGCUCAAUCUUCAGUUACAAGGUUGCUCAGCUCCUGCCCAGCCUCUACCCCCCGUCACUCUUGCCCCAGCUACUGCUGCCCCUGCUCCUCCUAGUGGUGGUAGUAGCAGUGGUGGUAGCAGCAGUGGCUCAAGCAGUGGCAGCGGCUUCUGUGCUGGCAAGGCUAAUGGACUUUACCCCGACCCCAGCAAUACUAACCAGUUCUACAACUGCAACAGUGGCAAGGCCUACUUGGAGCACUGUGCCACUGGCCUGGUCUUUGAUGCUAGCUGCUCUUGCUGCAACUGGUCUUAAAUCCAAGUUCAUAAAUCUGAGUGCUUAUAAACUGCUCUUUUCUUGAUUGAUCUGAGUUGUCUUUAGUCAUGUUCAUUGAUGUUCUGAAAUAAAAAUAAACCAGCAAA